CCUANGGGCGGCUGCAGUCGAGAAUCUUCGGCAAUGGGCGCAAGCCUGACCGAGCGACGCCGCGUGUGGGAUGAAGGCCCUUGGGUUGUAAACCACUGUCAGAGGGGAUGAAAUGCACGAGAGCUAUCUCUUGUGUUUGACAUAGCCUCAGAGGAAGCACGGGCUAAGUACGUGCCAGCAGCCGCGGUAAUACGAACUGUGCAAACGUUAUUCGGAAUCACUGGGCUUACAGGGUGCGUAGGCGGCUUGUUAAGUAGGGUGUGAAAGCCCCCGGCUCAACCGGGGAAUGGCGCCCUAAACUGGCGAGCUGGAGUGAGAUAGGGGUGUGCGGAACUUCCGGUGGAGCGGUGAAAUGUGUUGAUAUCGGAAGGAACGCCGGUGGCGAAAGCGGCACACUGGAUCUCAACUGACGCUGAUGCACGAAAGCGUGGGGAGCAAACAGGAUUAGAUACCCCGNUANUC
rnacentral:rRNA from 1 species